AGAGUUUGAUCCUGGCUCAGGAUGAACGCUGGCGGCGUGCCUAACACAUGCAAGUCGAGCGAUUCUCUUCGGAGAAGAGCGGCGGACGGGUGAGUAACGCGUGGGUAACCUGCCCUGUACACACGGAUAACAUACCGAAAGGUAUGCUAAUACGAGAUAAUAUACUUUUAUCGCAUGGUAGAAGUAUCAAAGCUUUUGCGGUACAGGAUGGACCCGCGUCUGAUUAGCUAGUUGGUAAGGUAACGGCUUACCAAGGCGACGAUCAGUAGCCGACCUGAGAGGGUGAUCGGCCACAUUGGAACUGAGACACGGUCCAAACUCCUACGGGAGGCAGCAGUGGGGAAUAUUGCACAAUGGGCGAAAGCCUGAUGCAGCAACGCCGCGUGAGCGAUGAAGGCCUUCGGGUCGUAAAGCUCUGUCCUCAAGGAAGAUAAUGACGGUACUUGAGGAGGAAGCCCCGGCUAACUACGUGCCAGCAGCCGCGGUAAUACGUAGGGGGCUAGCGUUAUCCGGAUUUACUGGGCGUAAAGGGUGCGUAGGUGGUUUCUUAAGUCAGGAGUGAAAGGCUACGGCUCAACCGUAGUAAGCUCUUGAAACUGGGAGACUUGAGUGCAGGAGAGGAGAGUGGAAUUCCUAGUGUAGCGGUGAAAUGCGUAGAUAUUAGGAGGAACACCAGUAGCGAAGGCGGCUUUCUGGACUGUAACUGACACUGAGGCACGAAAGCGUGGGGAGCAAACAGGAUUAGAUACCCUGGUAGUCCACGCCGUAAACG
rnacentral:rRNA from 1 species